rnacentral:rRNA from 1 species
CCUACGGGGGGCAGCAGUGAGGAAUAUUGGUCAAUGGACGAGAGUCUGAACCAGCCAAGUAGCGUGAAGGAUGACUGCCCUAUGGGUUGUAAACUUCUUUUAUAAAGGAAUAAAACGAGGCACGUGUGCCUUUUUGCAUGUACUUUAUGAAUAAGGAUCGGCUAACUCCGUGCCAGCAGCCGCGGUAAUACGGAGGAUCCGAGCGUUAUCCGGAUUUAUUGGGUUUAAAGGGAGCGUAGAUGGGUUGUUAAGUCAGUUGUGAAAGUUUGCGGCUCAACCGUAAAAGUGCAAUUGAUACUGGCAGUCGUGAGUACAGAUGAGGUAAGCGGAAUUCGUGGUGUAGCGGUGAAAUGCUUAGAUAUCACGAAGAACCCCGAUUGCGAAGGCAGCUUACUAAACUGUGACUGACAUUGAUGCUCGAAAGUGUGGGUAUCAAACAGGAUUAGAUACCCGGGUAGUC